rnacentral:RNase_P_RNA from 1 species
UGAGUAAGACAGACGGUCGCGUGGCGGCGGCGAAAGCCCCGUCAUGAGGAAAGUCCGGGCUCCAUAGGGCAAGGAUAACGGGUAACGCCCGCCGAAGGCGACUUCAGGAAAAGUGCAACAGAAAUAAACCGCAGAUUGUUAGGUGCUUAACGGGGUGCCUGCGUAGUCUGGUAGUGCGGCCUGCGGCCACACUACCCUAGAUCGCGCUAACGGCCCCGUCGAGGGGCCGCGCGCGAUUACAGCGUGUCUGGCCCCUUGGGCCAGACACGCUGUAAGGGUGGAAAGGCGAGGUAAGAGCUCACCCAUCGGCUGGAGACUGUCCGAUGCUGUAAACUCUAUCCGGAGCAACACCGUGGGAGGACAGGUUGCGAAUGUGCGAUCAUGAUCGGCCCGAUCGUCCUCAAGGAGGUGGCUGGAGUGGUUUGGCAACAAACCGCCUAGAUAGAUGACCGUUUAAUACAGAACCCGGCUUACAGUCUUGCUCACUAU